CCUACGGGUGGCAGCAGUGAGGAAUAUUGGUCAAUGGGCGGAAGCCUGAACCAGCCAAGUCGCGUGAGGGAAUAAUGCCCUACGGGUCGUAAACCUCUUUUGCCGGGGCGCAAGGGCCGGGACGCGUCCCGUCCCGGAGAGUACCCGGAGAAAAAGCAUCGGGUAACUCCGUGCCAGCAGCCGCGGUAAUACGGAGGAUGCGAGCGUUAACCGGAUUUAUUGGGUUUAAAGGGUGCGUAGGCGGUCUUUUAAGUCAGCGGUAAAAAUUCGGGGCUCAACCCAGUCCGGCCGUUGAAACUGGGGGCCUUGAGUGGGCGAGAAGAAGGCGGAAUGCGUGGUGUAGCGGUGAAAUGCAUAGAUAUCACGCAGAACCCCGAUUGCGAAGGCAGCCUUCCGGCGCCCUACUGACGCUGAGGCACGAAAGUGCGGGGAUCGAACAGGAUUAGAUACCCGGGUAUC
rnacentral:rRNA from 1 species